CAGUGUCGCAGAGGAGAGGAGAUGAGAGGAGAAGAGGUGUAGCAGCAGGCCAAGAUCACCGUGUAGUUCCCGAGCUUCCAGGGAAGGGACGGUGAUGGUGCCCCUGCAGCAGCAGGGAAAAAGUGCGACGACGAUGCGAGCUCGGGCGGGUUGGGUGGCAAGCUGAGCUUCAAGUGGGAGGCCGGCAGCUGCUCGUCAACGUCGUCGGUGGUGUACUUGCCGCUGUCGUUCGUGUCAGCGCCGGCUAGGAGGAUGGAGCAGCAGGCCAAGAUCCAUGAUUAUAUCAUUGAGAAGCUCCAGGAUGACAAGAGGGUCAGCUGGUAGCUCUGCUUCCUCGUCUACAAGCACUCGAGCACCGCCAUGGCUGGGCUGCUGAUGCAGGCCGUUGGGUACAAAUUCGAUUACGAUGAUUUCCACAGCUUUGUUGAUGGUCUGUUGGCUUACAAAAAGUUAACCCCGACGCCUCCCGCGUGGCGCCUCCAGUGGCCACUUCUUCAUUUCCGGCAUACAUAAGCCCACUUGAUCCAUCUCCUCUUUCUCUAACGCUGUAUGUGCCCACGGGUUGAGUUAUGCGACCGUGGGAGUUUCACACUGCACACUGAUUAGUGCAAUUGAGCAUGUUUAUUUAUUUGUAUGUAAAAAUAUAAAAUCCUUCUAACACUCGCUGGCCAUUGGUGAGCAGCAGGCCAUCUUCACCUCCGACCCAGCACCAACAUGCAGUUUCUGAGCUUCCAGGGAAGGGGCGGUGGUAGUGCCCUGCAGCUGUAGCAUCAUAGUGUGACGAUGGCAUGAGCUCUGGCGGGUUCGGCGGGAAGCUGAGCUUCAAGUGGGAGGCGGGCGGCUGCUCGUUGGCAUUGUCUUUGAUGGUCGGUGGUGUACUCGCCGCUGUCGUUCUUGUCGGCACUACCCAGGAGGACAAAUUUGCACACACCGUCGAGGGGUAACGGGAACUACAGCUACAGCAAUUGGUACACAUCGCCGUUGUCGUUGGCGAGCCAGAAGAUCUCGACGUCAGAGGCGUGCCGGAUGGUGCAAUGUAUUACCACUGACUCGACUCAGUUCCUGAGCUUCGAGGGAAGGGGCGGUGGUGGUGCCCCUGCAGCAGCCGAAACAAAGUGCAACGACAGCGCGAGCUCGGGCAGGUCGGGUGGCAAGAUGAGCUUCAAGUGGGAGGUUGGCAGCUGCUCGUCGGCGUCUAUGGUGUACCUGUUGCUGUCGUUCACGUCAGCCCCGGCCGGGAGAACGGAGCAGCAGACGCCGUCUCGGUGGAACGGGAACUACAACCACUGCAAUGGGUGCUUGUCCUGGCUAUCGUCGGUGAGCCAGAAGAGCUCGUCUGCAUUGAAGUCAAUGUUGGAUGCCGCAGUGGACACCACCUAUCAAACUUCGCGGCGUUGAGCUGUGAGUAAAAAACAAUAUUGGUAAAGAUGGACGAGGAACAGAGUUCAGUAGUGGACUCAUGGCUGGGUGAGAUAAUUGGGGAAUUAUAAGGCAAUACGCGACACCGCUUUAUCUUGAUGAAGAAGCUGCCAUGAAAGCUAUGCCUUCUCAUAACACGAGGACAAAAGCCAAAGGGUUGCGCCUUUGAUAUGUCUCUCACCCCAAAGGGGAGAAGGGUCCAGCCUGGCCACGACGACGCACCGCUCCCAGCAGGUGCCCGACUCUAUGGACGACGGGGAUGAACGGGACCCCAAGCCCAAGCUGACGAGCACGACGAGGACAUCGCCAAGUCAGGGGAGCCUGACCUUGACUCCCCACACAAGACCGCCCAUGGCACAGACAUGACGACGACGAGGGUAGGAGGGCGCCAUAUCCGGCCGGGAAUAUGGCCUUGUCUUGCUCGAGGAAGAGGAGGGAUGCACCUAGCUGGGGGCCCUGUCCUCCUCGUGGAGGAGGGGCACACCAAGGGAUCUGCUCCUCUGCUUCCAAGGCAACCAAGGGGUCCUGCCCAAGCUCGACGAGUCCAUCCUGGCUACGACACUGCACCGCUCCCAGAAGAUCACCCAUGGCAUGGAUGCGACGGCGAUGACGGUAGGAGGGCACCUUGCAGCUGCCAGCCUUGCCCUCAUGAGGAGGAGGAUGGGCGCACAUAGCCACCAAUGGUUGUGCUCCUCAUCUUCCAAGGUGAGUGAUCAAGGG